rnacentral:rRNA from 1 species
AAGGAAACUGCGGAUGGCUCCUUAUAACAGUGAGUACCGGCCUGCUUAGACAAUCUACACGGAUAACCUAGCCAACUGCUAGGCUAAUACGUGACGUCGAUACCGUUUGGCUUGCCAGACGGUAGCGCAAGGCCAGCAUGAAUGCGGCCUUGCAUGGCCAAGCUUCGGCUUGGCCGGCAGACCUACAGAGGUUAAAGUACCUGUCUCGGACAGGUACUACUCUAGGCUGAGCAGACAGCUUUCUGACCCAUUAGCUGGUUGUGAAGGUAGCGGCUUCACAAGGCAGCCAUGGGUACGGGGAAUCAGCGUUCGAUUCCGGAGAGAAAGCCUGAGACACGGCUAUCACAUCUAAGGAAGGCAGCAGGCGCGCAAAUUACCCAAUGCAGACUCUGCGAGGUAGUGAACAGCCAUAGUGACCUGCCCAUGAUUGUGGGCAGGGAGGCCUUCGGGCCUAGCCAUGAUUGACGUCUAAACACCGUCAAGAUCAACUAGUAGAGGACCAGUCUGGUGCCAGCACCCGCGGUAACUCCAGCUCUGCUAGCCUAUGAUAAUACUGUUGUCUUUAAAACGUUCGUAGCCCGCCUAGGAUAGGUCGGGUGUCGGCUGUGUGAGACACCUGCUUGUCUGUCCAGCUCAGCUGGUACAGAUGGACAGGCUGUUGAGCACCUCGGCAGGUAGCUUGCUUCGGCAGGUGACUGUAGCCUACAUCUGGCCUGUCGCGGCGAUAUCGCUAGUAAAUGGAAAUGCUUAAAGUAGGCGAUGCUGGCUUCGGCCAGCCAGCCUGUACUUCAUAGAGUGACACAUCAAUACAGCCAGCUGCUUUUGCAGCUGGCGUGAGCAAUGGGGAGGUCUCAAGCAAGGAGUACUGGCUGGAUAGGGGUGAAAUCCAGUGACCCAGCCAUGACUAGCUGAGGCGAAGGCGCCUUGCUAGAGCCCGCCUCUCGGCGAUGGACGAGAGUGAAGGGCGCGAAGAUGAUUAGAUACCGUUGUAGUCUCCACCGUAAACUAUGCCAGCUCGGCCGGGCCACCUCACCUUUGUGAAGGUUGCCUGGCCCUAGGGAAACUAUUAAGCUCUUCGGCUAGAGGGGUAGUACUGUUGCAAGGCAGAAACUUAAAGGAAUUGACGGAAAAGCACCACCAGGCGUGGAGUCUGCGGCUUAAUUCGACUCAACACGGGGAACCUUACCAGGACAGCACACUGAAUGGAUUGUCGGCUUGCCGAGCCUACCUGAUACUGUGGAUAGUGGUGCAUGGCCAUUCUUAGUUCGUGAAGUGAUUUGUCUCCUUGAUUGAGGUAACGAGCGAGACCCUGAAGGGCUGUUGGGCACGGUCAGUACGCUGGCCGUAGUCUGCCUAGUGCAGCUGCCCCUACCCUGAUCACCGGCGCCUAGCCGGGCGAGACAGGACAAUAAUAGGUCUGUUAUGCCCUUAGAUGCCCUGGGAUGCACGCGUACUACACUGACGGUCACAGCGAGUAGUCUGGCGGAUAGGCCUAGCCUAUUCGCCUGGCUGCGCCGACAGGCGUGGCGAAGCUACAAUGGCCGUCACGGUAAGGAUUGCUGCCUGCAAGGGCAGCAUGAAUGAGGAAUGCCUUGUAAGCGCGCUUCAGCAUAGCGCACUGAAUACGUCCCUGCUUUUUGUACACACCGCCCGUCGCAUCAAGGAACUCAACUGAGGCAAUGAGGCUGCUGGACGAAAGGAAAGCAGCCGAA